UUCGAUUGGCAUUUCAAGUAAUGAAUGUCUAUCGGGACAUCGUGACGGUUAUCACGGGCUCGAGGAGAGUACCGGGUUGUGACAUUACAUUUGUUACUAUUUUGGUUAAUGGGUCACCAACAAAUACUGUUAAACUAAGAAGAAGAUUAAGGACUAGCUUUGGAGAAUAAAGUUAAGAUGCUAGUUAUUUGGUUGGGAGUAUCAACAAUGGACGGCUUUGUGGUCUCUUUUACGGAAUGUCUCUUUGAGUAAAAAGUUGGAUGAUGAGGUUGUAUGGAAAGUUACAUCCAGUGGUAAAUA